rnacentral:siRNA from 1 species
AAAGGGUGUUGGUCGAUUAA